GUGCCUAACACAUGCAAGUCGAGCGAUGAAGUUUCUCGGAAUGGAUUAGCGGCGACGGGUGAGUAACACGUGGUAACCUGCCUCAUAGUGGGAAUAGCCUUUCGAAAGGAAGAUUAAUACCGCAUAAGAUUGUAGUUUCGCAUGAAACAGCAAUUAAAGGAGCAAUUCGCUAUGAGAUGGACCCGCGGCGCAUUAGCUAGUCGGUGAGGUAACGGCUCACCAAGGCCACGAUGUCUAGGGGUUCUGAGAGGAAGGUCCCCCACACUGGAACUGAGACACGGCCCAGACUCCUACGGGAGGCAGCAGUGGGGAAUAUUGCACAAUGGGCGAAAGCCUGAUGCAGCAACGCCGCGUGAGGGAAGACGGCCUUCGGGUUGUAAACCUCUGUCCUCAGUGACGAAGAAAGUGACGGUAGCUGAGGAGGAAGCCACGGCUAACUACGUG
rnacentral:rRNA from 1 species